rnacentral:tRNA from 1 species
GUAGCUUAAAACACUAAAGCAUA